rnacentral:lncRNA from 10 species
UGAAUGGAUUUAAAAGGUGACUGGAACACUUCUUUCUGACCUCAGAGAUGUGAUGGAUGUCCGGGAAGAUUUUCUCAAGGGCUAGAAAGUGAAGUCAUUAAGACUAGAGCUCCAGGCUUCUUCAUCCAACUCCAAGGGUUCCCAGCAACAUGUGAAGUCCUCUAUCUGUCACUAAGAAGCCGUGUGAGUGAAGCAGGCUAUAUACCUUGGUUUCAACAUCUGUGAACAAGGUGUAAUGAUGGUUUUCUCAUCUUUUUUUAGGAUCGUUAUAAGAAUCUGAGACAGUGAGAGGGAAAAGAUUGUUUUCCAUUCAUUAGCUCAGGCUGGGCAUUGGAGGCAUCUCCUCUGAGCACCUGCUAAAACAGCACUGGCAAGUCACUCUUUGGAGCCAUUUCUGGAAAGAGGUUCUAUACAAAUAAAAUUAGAAAAGUCUGAAUUUAGCAUAUGAGAAAUGUUAUGGCCAUUGGUACCUAUCACUCUAAACACCAUUCUGCUUAUUCUUGUCAUGUAGGGGCAUUUGAUUUUUAAUCUAUCCACUUAAAUAUUGGCUGCUUCUAUAGACUUCCCAACCAGCAGUCCUUGUGCAGGCAAAACUCCCAUUUAACUGAAUGAAAGUAUUAAACAUAAAAUAUUGUUAGGAAGAGUCUGAUAUUGUAUUUAUCUUGCUGAUAAUUAUCUUACAUGUUUUAAUUACUCCCAGUAGUGUCCCAAGGCUGAUUAAAGGAAAAAUAUAAUUUACUCAUCGAAAUAAGAUAUUAUACAAGUAUCAAAUGAUAUUGAUAAAUAUUAAACAAUAAACUUUCCUAGAAUUCUUUCCCUAAAAAAUUGGGGACCUUAUACUUCACUAGUUAUAUAUUUCAGAGCAAGCUGGUUUAUAACAGAAUGAUAAAGGUGAUUAGAAUGAAAGAGAGGCCAUUUGGAUUGAUUCAGUUUUGCUACAUUUAUUAUAAUUUACAAUACUUUGCCAUAAAAAUAAAAUAGUUACCCAACCUCAGAUUACUGUCUUUAUAUUGUGGUUGAUUUUAUAAUUGCUGACCUUUAUCCCAUAGAUUUUUCAGGGUUAGUUAUUACUGGUUUUUACCUGAGAGAUUUGGGGGAGUUGUGUUUAUCGCUCAAAUAUCCAAUCUAAAUUUGGUUCUCUUAUAGCAAUGGAUGGAUGACUCACCUCUCAUAGGAAUGAUAGAACUUGGAUCAUCUUGUCAAUCACAGAGCUUGGUGGCCUUCUACAAAUGUUUGUGGAAUGAAUAAGUGAGAGAAUGAGAGAUUAAUAAAGCCAAUACUAUCACCAGUCCAACGAAGAGCUGCAACUGAAAAAAAAGUCUGACAAAGUAUGAUGUACAUUGAAAAUGAAAAGAAACCAUUCUAUUCUUCGUGAAGUUAGACCUGGAUAGCUAUGUAUAGCUCUGCUCUCUGCAAUUUAAGAGAAAUAAUCUGGAAAUGCAGAAGAAAUAGGGAAAAGCACUUGUAACGUGCAGUUUUAUGUGUCAACUUGGGUAGGCCAUAAUACCCAGUUAUUUAGUCAAACACUAAUCUAGGUGCAGCUGUGAAGGCACUUUGUAGACGUGUUUAACAUCUAAAAUAAGCUCACAUUAAGUAAGAGAUUAUCCUCAAUAAUGUGGGUGGGCCUCACUGAAUCAAUUGGAAGUCCUGAGAGCAAAAACUGAGGUUUGCCAGGGAAGAAGAAAUUUGACCUCAAAACUGCAACAUAGAAAUCCUGACUAAGCUUCCAGGCUGCUGGCUUGCCCUACAAAUUUCAGAUAUACCAGGCCCCAAUCUUACGAACCAAUUUCUUAAAAUAAAUCAUGUAUGCGUAUUCGUUAAUAUACACACUCAUAUAAAGAACACACAUAUGUGUACAUAUAUGUAUAUGUGUGUGUAUGUUCUAUUGGUUUCGUUUCUCUUGAGAGCCCUCGCUGAUAGAGAUUUUAGUACCAAGAAGUAGGGUGCUAUUGUGUAAAUAAAUAAAUAAAUAAAUAAAAAUAUGGAAGUAGCUUUGGAACUGAAUAAUGGAUAGAGGCUGGAAGAGUUUUUAGGUGCAUGAUAGAAAAAUCUUAGAUUGCUUUGAAGAGAUUCUAAUAGAAAUGUCAGAGGCGUUUGAACCAGAGCAACUCCAUCUUUAACAGGGGCUGGGUAAAAUGAGGCUGAGACCUACUGCGCUGCAUUCCCAGGAGGUUAGACAUUCUAAGUCACAGAAUGAGACAGGAGGUUGGCACAAGAUACAGGUCACAAAGACCUUGCUGAUGAAACAACUUCCAAUAAAGAAGCUGGCCAAAACCCACCAAAACCAAGAUGGUGACAAAAGUGACCUCUGGUGGUCCUCACUGCUCAUUAUACGCUAAUUAUAAUAUAUUAGCUUGCUAAAAGACACCCUCACCAGUGCCAUGACAAUUUACAGAUGCCAUGACAACAUCAGGAAGUUACCCUAUAUGGCCGAAAAGGGGAAGGAACCCCCAGUUCCAGGAAUUGCCCACCCCUUUCCCA